rnacentral:rRNA from 1 species
AGAUUGAACGCUGGCGGCAGGCCUAACACAUGCAAGUCGAGCGGAUGAGAAGAGCUUGCUCUUCGAUUCAGCGGCGGACGGGUGAGUAAUACCUAGGAAUCUGCCUGGUAGUGGGGGACAACGUUUCGAAAGGAACGCUAAUACCGCAUACGUCCUACGGGAGAAAGCAGGGGACCUUCGGGCCUUGCGCUAUCAGAUGAGCCUAGGUCGGAUUAGCUAGUUGGUGAGGUAAUGGCUCACCAAGGCUACGAUCCGUAACUGGUCUGAGAGGAUGAUCAGUCACACUGGAACUGAGACACGGUCCAGACUCCUACGGGAGGCAGCAGUGGGGAAUAUUGGACAAUGGGCGAAAGCCUGAUCCAGCCAUGCCGCGUGUGUGAAGAAGGUCUUCGGAUUGUAAAGC